UGCCAGGUAAGAAAUGAAGUAAAAUAACAAUGCAGCAGUGUGAUGACUGUAGUGGUCAGGGUCGGUAAGUUACAGUGCAAUUAACAGCCACACCCAAAUGGCAACAUUUAAAAUAACCAAGACUUACUUCCUUUUAUUCUCCAGGUCAACAUGAGUCCUCUGAGACUUCCACUCCAAGUCUUGAUAGCCUCUUCAGGGAGUCAGGUUGGUGGGUUACACGUCAGUUCCCACCCAGUAGAAACUCCACGGAAAUGUGACCCAUCAUCCUUCGCCAUGGGCCCAGGUGACAGCCCAAAGGAGCAGUUCUGUGUGAAUGACAAGAGAUUCCAGAGAAACCUCAGCCAAAACUUGUGGAAAACGCACAAUGUUUGAAAGAGGCAGCUGAAAACAAUAGCCUUCUGAACUUCAGGACUUUGACAUCCUCAGAAUCUUCUUAUACAGUCUACGGAUUGACUGAAUGAAAAAUACCGUGGCGAACCAUGAGAAAUAACGAAAAGCCCUACAUACCCACCACCAUUCUGCAGCAAAACGGAGGGGUUUGGAACGACUGGAAAUACUUCCACCCCAGGAAUUUCCAGGACAUCUGAUUUUCUUUUGGCUUGACAUAGCCUCUUGGCUGCCGAGCUCCAUCCAGAUCCCAGCAGCCACCUGCUCGGAUCCAUCCUAGACAUGGCCCUGCUGCUGGCCUCAGGCUACCUUCUGGAAUCCUCCAAAAGUCCUAGGGGAACAAAUUCAACUUAGAACCUCUGUUAUGAAGCUUUCAGUGAUACCUCCCUGACUAAGGUAAGGGCCCCUCUUUGUACUCAUAUAGCUCCUUAUCAUACCUUUAUCACAUCUUUUUCACUUUCUCUGUCCUCUAGAGUACAAACCCAAAUCUUAUUAUCUUUAAACAGGUCUAGUGACCAGUGUGAUGGCAGCAGAUGAAAGGUGUUCAAUAGAUGAUUAUCAGGAAAAAAAAAAGAUGAAAUAGUUCUCAAAAUCCUAGGACAAUAUCUUCUGUAGGAAUUCACACUUGG